UGCAGGGGUGCCCGAGCUGGCCAAAGGGGACAGGCUUAGGACCUGUUGGCGUAGGCCUACGUGGGUUCGAAUCCCAUCCCCUGCAUCC
rnacentral:tRNA from 1 species